CGCCGAGGGGCUGCACAAGCGGCUGCAGAGACCCGGCCCCCGCGCCAGCACCGAGAUCACGGUGACGGAGGAGAUGGCGGCCGGGCCGGGGCGGGGCCGGGGGGGCCCCGGCGUCCGGGGCGCUGACGAGUGGGACG